rnacentral:rRNA from 1 species
GACGGAAGGUGCAAGCGUUGCUCGGAAUCACUGGGCGUAAAGGGUGCGUAGGCGGCCGUGCAAGUCUGGCGUGAAGCCCGGGCUCAGCCCGGGAAGUGCGCUCGAAACUGCGCGGCUCGAGUGCCGGAGGGGAGAGUGGGAAUUCCUGGUGUAGCGGUGAAAUGCGUAGAUAUCGGCUGGGAACUCCGGUGGCGAAGGCGAGAUGCUGGACCCUUCUGACGCUGAGGCGCGAAAGCCAGGGGAGCGAACGGG